rnacentral:rRNA from 1 species
GGGAAUCUUCGGCAAUGGACGAAAGUCUGACCGAGCAACGCCGCGUGAGUGAAGAAGGUUUUCGGAUCGUAAAACUCUGUUGUUAGAGAAGAACAAGGACGUUAGUAACUGAACGUCCCCUGACGGUAUCUAACCAGAAAGCCACGGCUAACUACGUGCCAGCAGCCGCGGUAAUACGUAGGUGGCAAGCGUUGUCCGGAUUUAUUGGGCGUAAAGCGAGCGCAGGCGGUUUCUUAAGUCUGAUGUGAAAGCCCCCGGCUCAACCGGGGAGGGUCAUUGGAAACUGGGAGACUUGAGUGCAGAAGAGGAGAGUGGAAUUCCAUGUGUAGCGGUGAAAUGCGUAGAUAUAUGGAGGAACACCAGUGGCGAAGGCGGCUCUCUGGUCUGUAACUGACGCUGAGGCUCGAAAGCGUGGGGAGCAAACAGGAUUAGAUACCCUGGUAGUCCACGCCGUAAACGAUGAGUGCUAAGUGUUGGAGGGUUUCCGCCCUUCAGUGCUGCAGCAAACGCAUUAAGCACUCCGCCUGGGGAGUACGACCGCAAGGUUGAAAC